CAGCUGUUCCUCCCCUUAUUCCCAUCGGCAGGGCCCAAGCUCAGGAGCUCUGGGCAGUAAGCACCCAGGCUCAGUGGUCCCUCCUGAAAGGGAUCAGAAGGGAGGGACAGUGUUGGCAUGAUACACUGGCAGCCCCGGCCCCAGGAGAUGAGUCAGCCAGGGUGGAGGAGUCAGGGAUAGCCAUGGGGCCUUUUGGGGGGAGACUGGCUAGCAGCGCUGCUCCCUACAGCUGCUCCUGGAACUUGGGCUGGGAGCCUCCCCCAACCCUCAGCCUUGCCUAGGCCUGAUCUCUUGGAGUGCCACAGUGGAACCAUCACAGAAGACCAGAGGAGACCCGAGGAGAAGUGACUGUAGCUCUUGACUUCUGAGUUCUUGGCUGCCACCCCAACCCCUCCUCCCCCAGGCAAAAGCUCCUUCUUCUUGGACAUGCUGGUUAUUUCCUCAUGUUUCAGCCCCUUGCCGCGGCCGGUGCUCAGGAUGAAAUGAAGGUCUCUGGGGAUGGAGAGGUUCAGGCCAGGAUCCUCAGGCUGCCCACUUCUCAUUCCUCUCUUCUCCCCUGCCACAGAUGCCUCCCCUUGAGGAAACAAGCAUCAACUCAACUUGCAGCAGGAGAAACUGAGGUCCAGAGAGAGAGAGGAAGAGAUCUGGAGCAGAGCAAAGAAAGGCUUUCUGGGUACAGAGUGAAUCAGACUCAUAGCUGGAACAAUCUCUAGAACAACCUACCUUAAUUUACAGAAGGGGAAAUUGAGGCUGAGAAGGGAAAGAAUUAAAGGUCAUCUCGGUCCUUCUAUGCCUUAUUGUGUCAUGGGGGAUGGUAUACUUCUUGAAGGCUGUGCCAUCAGAGAGUAAUUUCAGAGUCAUCUAAGUCCAGUGACAAGACAGAAGACAGAAUGAUUGGUGAUGGCCUGUGAUGCAGUAGAUGACUGUGGCAUCUUCCAUGUCUCACCAAGCUCUAAGCCCUCCACAGUUCCUGCUUCAGCUGCCUUCAUGACUUUUGUUCUCCUCCAUUUAUUUCAAGUCCUCACAGACUUAGGGUAGACAACCCCACUAACUCAUGGAUGAGUUUGUGGUUCAUCAAUAACCCUGGUUUAGUCCAUCUGCUGAGAUGCUUUACUGGGGUGCAACUGCUGAGUAUGCUACACCUUCUUGGUGCCACAGGUGAGAGUAUAUUAGUGGUAGUGGGUAGUGGGAACAGCAGUUGUAAGUAGCAUCUUAGAGUUGUUUCAAGAGACCAGGGCUCAACUGGGAAGACCAUCUAACAAAACAAGUUCUGGCCAUGUUACUGCCUACGUUGGACACUUUUUGGUGCUUCCUAUGCAUCAGGAAUGAAAUAUAAGCUCUUCUUCUCAUAUCUGACACUAUCUGUGGGACCCCAAGUCAAUAACUUAAACUCUUUGGGACUCAGUUUUUUCAUUUGUAAAAUGAGGGGAUUGGAUCAGAUCAACUUCAAGUCCUUUUGGAGCUCAAGUCCUUUCCAAUUUGAAUAUAGUUGGUUUUUCCAAUCUUGUGCAUUCCUACUCAAGCUCCCUACAUGCCAACCAAGCUGAACUUACAGACAUUUCUCCAAACUCAUUGUGCUAUCACAGAAUUACAGAAUUUGCCUGGGGGAAAUGGACCUCAGACACCAUCUAGUCUGACCCAGAAUCUCCAAAGAAUAUCCUUUAUAACAGAGCCAAGGGGUUAUUAAGCCUUGGCUUGAAGACACCAUUGAAGGGGAGUUCACUACCUCCCUAGGCAAUCAUUCAAUUUCUGGAUUGCUGUAAUGACUGGGAAAGUAUUGCUUCCAUGGUUCUGAACUUUUCCUCUUUGUAACUUCCACCCAGUUCAUUUGGUUUUGCCCCUGGGGCCAAGAAGAACAAAGAGAAUCCUUCUUCUACAUGCCAACUCUUCAGAUAGUUGAAGCCAGCCAGCUCUCAGAUUAUCCUAAAAGCAAUAAGAGCUAUUAAAGAGAGUGAAGGGUUGAUGUGGUCAGAUUAAUGUUUUAGGAAUAUUGAAGGAAGAAAUGGGGUAUAGUGGAGAGAGCACUGGUUUUAGAGUCAUAGGAUCUGGGUUCAAAUUCCACCUUUGAUAUUUACUACUUAUUUUGGGUAAGUCUUUCAUGAACCUCAAUUUCCUCAUCUAUAAAAUGGGAGGAGAGAGUGUUAGACUAGAUGGCCACUAAGGUCCCUGCAAGUUCUAGACAGAUAACUCUGGGAUCUUUCAUUAUGGUCUUCUCCUGACUCUACACAUUUGAGGUAUAACUCCCUCACCUGGAAGGCAUUCCCUCUUCACCUUUGGCUAUUCAAAUUCUUUUCCUUCAAUGACCAGCUCUGACAUCUUCUUAGGGAAAUCUUCCCUGAUCCCUCACUAAAAGACAUCUGUGUUUCCUCUAAUCUUCCCAUGGUGCUUUGUCUAGCUCUCGCUUUUUAUCCAUCACCAUCCACCUUAUAUCAUAUUUAUUUGUGGACUUAUUAUAUUCCCCACUAGACCAUAAGCUUCUUGAGGUCAGGGGCUGGCAUUUUUCAUCGUUAGAGCCACAUCAUUGAGCAAGGGAUUUAGCUUGUAGAAGGAAGUUAGUAAACUCAGUUACAUGAUAAUAAUGGCUCCUAUUUGUGUGGCUCUUUAAGGAUGAUAAAGCACUUUUUACCCUCAUAACAAGCCUGUGAGGACAAGUAUCAUCAUCUUAAUGUUACAGAUGAAGAACAGUUCUGAGAAAUGCCUGGGGUCACUCCCUUGCAAGUGUCAGGCAAGGCUUCAGCACCAAGGUCAGUGGUUCUUUCCAGGCUGCCAUAACUCCUUGAACCUUAGCCAAGCGGACUCAAGCUCAGUAUGUGGGCCAAAUGGGUACCACAGCUCUUUGAGAGUCCCUUCUGCCCCAGCCCAUCCCAGAAGGAAGAGAUGGGCAGGAGCCCUGGGGGUGACCCUGUCUAAAAAUAAACCUCCUUUCCUUCCUUCUCCAUUUUUUGGUCUCUUUCACAUAAAUGGCAUAAUUAGGGGGAUUCAACAUUCUGCUGCUGAAAUCUUCAUUUUCUAGGGUAAUUUCCACCAUUUCAUCAAGGAAUAAUUAAUUGCAUUGUCUCUAAUCAAUUGUUUGACAAAUUCAGCAGCAGGAGGAAUUCUCCCACAAUCUCAGCAGCUGCUCUCCCUGGGGUGCUUUGCAGCUCCAGUGGGGAGGAGUCAGCUACGAACUUAUCAGGGGCAUGCAUCACCCUCUUCCUCCUUCCCUCAAGCCUAGGGAAUAGGGUAGAGGAUACAUCUGGGGCCAGAGAUCAGAGGAUAACAGAAUCUCAGAAGUGGAAGAGAUUGGUAAUAGCAUCUGUUUCCAAACGUGACUCCCUACUGCUGUAACAAUAACUUUGGGGUGACUUCUCUGAUGGCUGGCAAGUUUUCCCUCGAAAAGAACACGAAUAUGCCUCUAUGACUUCCACCCAUUGGCUUUUGUUGUGUCUUGUGGGGCUAAGCAGAACAACUACCUAAUUGCUUUCCCAUAUGACAAGCCUCCACGGAGAACAGUCGUCUUUUGUGAACUGUGGGGGUGACCUAUGUGUUGAGUUGCUUUGUUCUGAUAUUUGAGGUCAUCAGCUUUAGAGCUAGAAGGGAGUUAGGGUUUAAUUAAUCUAACACUUUUGUUUUACUGACAAGACCCACAGAGAUUAGAUGGUUUGCUUGAGAUGGCACCACUAAAAAAUAGCAAAGCUGGGUCUAUGCCUAUGUAUCCCCAGCAUGGGAGAAGCAGGACUGUGUAGUAUAGACAAUGUGAGCUCCUUAAGGAUGGGGACUGUUUCAUUUCUUUUCUGUAUGCCUCAAGGAAUAUCUAGGUGGGAUAGUAGAUAGAGCACUGGGCUUGCAAUCAGGAAGACUCACCUUCAUGAGUUCAAAUUUGACCUCAGAUACUUAGUAGCUGUGUGCUCCUGGACAAGUCAUUUGACUCUAUUAGUUUAAGUUUCCUCAUGUGAAAAAUGAGCUGGAGAAGGGAAUGGCAAGCCACUCCAGUAUCUUUGCCAAGAAAACUCAAGAUGGGGUCAUGACUGAACAGUAACAAUCCCCUAAAGUCUUUGUAUCCUCAGUGCCUAGCAUAGUGCUUUGCGCUAACAAAUGUUUGAUUGCUUGAGCCUUGGUUUGAGAGUAACACUGGGACUUGAAUCUUUAGCCUCUGAACUCACUGUUGUUUAUAUGACAUUAGGCAAGUAACUCAAAGUUUCAAUGCUCCAGGCAACUGUCUUAAGACUUGUC